rnacentral:lncRNA from 1 species
GUGCUGCUUCUAAGAGUGCCACACCAUUUAGGGUCUUCGCACUGGAGCUGCCGUGGCUCUCCAGGGGCUUCGGAGAGCUGUGUCCACGGUUCCUAACAUGGAGGGGAAGGAGGGAGGGAGUGGUCACUGCCUGCUGGCUGAAGUGACACCUGGCAGUGAGACUAUCACAGGUGCCAGGAGAACCGGGCCCGAAGGAUGCUUUGUAACCCUUUCCAGAGCCCUGUAAGGUAAGUUCCAUAACUGCCACGAUGACAGGCCAGGAGUCAAGGCCCGCGUGGCAUAUACUGGGCCACCUAGUUCCCACGCAGUGCCGUGGCACUGUUCGGUGAUAAGGAAGCACGAUGAAUGCUGAGUCACAGGCAUGCGCCACCACACCCUGCUUGAAAAUGAGUAUCACCUGUCCUGAUCUCCAAGCAGCAAGAUCCCAUUCAGGUGGCUGCAGUUCUGCUUGGCCUGCGGUCUUUGGGCCUUCGCCUCCCUGCCUCGGGGAGGGGCGCAGCGGCAUUGAGAAUGACGCCCCGGGACAGGUCCUCCGGGUGCAGCUGACAUCCCAGUGGGGGGCCGAGGAGUGCAUCUGGACCCGCACCCUCAGGAACACCUGCUUUUGAGGUAUUUACCGGUCUGUUAGCCUUGAUCAGCGAGAUCUUUAUACAAACCAGGCCAGCAAGCCUGUCUUGAGAGGAACGGUAAGCGGCCAUGUUGGGAAACAAUCC